UACGUAGGGACCAAGCGUUGUUCGGAUUUACUGGGCGUAAAGGGCGCGUAGGCGGCUUAACAAGUCACUUGUGAAAUCUCCGGGCUUAACUCGGAACGGCCAAGUGAAACUGUCAAGCUAGAGUGCAGAAGGGGCAAUCGGAAUUCUUGGUGUAGCGGUGAAAUGCGUAGAUAUCGAGAGGAACACCGGUGGCGAAGGCGGCCAACUGGACGAAUACUGACGCUGAGACUCGAAAGCGUGGGGAGCAAACAGG
rnacentral:rRNA from 1 species